GUAUCCUAACCGUGCGAAGGUAGCGUAAUCACUUGUCCUUUAAAUGAGGACUAGUAUGAACGGUCUCACGAAGGCUGCACUGUCUCCUUUUUCUAAUCAGUAAAACUAAUCUUCCCGUGAAGAAGCGGGAAUUUUCCUAUAAGACGAGAAGACCCUAUGGAGCUUUAAACAAUUGAUACACUUGCAUCUUAAACCACUUUUUAUUUAACCAAGCAUUUUGUUUCUAGUUUUAGGUUGGGGUGACCACGGAGAAAAACCUAUCCUCCAUGCCGAAAGGAAUUCUUAUUUCUUAGCAAAAAGCCACAUCUUUAUGCAUCAACAAAUUGACCCUAAUUGACCCAAUAAUUUGAUCAACGAACCAAGUUACCCUAGGGAUAACAGCGCAAUCCACUUCAAGAGCUCUUAUCGACAAGUGGGUUUACGACCUCGAUGUUGGAUCAGGGUAUCCAAGUGGCGCAGUCGCUA
rnacentral:rRNA from 1 species